AAAGUCUUUCGGGACUUAGUGGGCGGACGGGUGAGUAACACGUGGGAACGUGCCCUUUGGUACGGAAUAACUCAGGGAAACUUGAGCUAAUACCGUAUGUGCCCUUCGGGGGAAAGAUUUAUCGCCAUUGGAGCGGCCCGCGUCUGAUUAGCUAGUUGGUGGUGUAAUGGACCACCAAGGCGACGAUCAGUAGCUGGUCUGAGAGGAUGAUCAGCCACAUUGGGACUGAGACACGGCCCAAACUCCUACGGGAGGCAGCAGUGGGGAAUCUUGCGCAAUGGGCGAAAAGCCUGACGCAGCCCAUGCCCGCGGUGAAAUGGAUGGAAGGGUCUUUAGGCAUUUGUAAAAAAUUUCUUUUCCACCCG
rnacentral:rRNA from 1 species